rnacentral:tRNA from 1 species
GGGGGUGUAGCUCAGUGGUAGAGCACUUACCUGGUAUGUAUAAGGUCUUGGGUUAGAUCCCUAGUACUCGUU